rnacentral:misc_RNA from 1 species
UGCGGGGACCGGCUAGGGUCUCACACCCUCCAGGGAAUGAAUGGCUGCGACAUGGGGCCCGACGGACGCCUCCUCCGCGGGUAUCACCAGCACGCGUACGACGGCAAGGAUUACAUCUCCCUGAACGAGGACCUGCGCUCCUGGACCGCGGCGGACACCGUGGCUCAGAUCACCCAGCGCUUCUAUGAGGCAGAGGAAUAUGCAGAGGAGUUCAGGACCUACCUGGAGGGCGAGUGCCUGGAGUUGCUCCGCAGAUACUUGGAGAAUGGGAAGGAGACGCUACAGCGCGCAGAUCCUCCAAAGGCACACGUUGCCCACCACCCCAUCUCUGACCAUGAGGCCACCCUGAGGUGCUGGGCCCUGGGCUUCUACCCUGCGGAGAUCACGCUGACCUGGCAGCGGGAUGGGGAGGAACAGACCCAGGACACAGAGCUUGUGGAGACCAGGCCUGCAGGGGAUGGAACCUUCCAGAAGUGGGCCGCUGUGGUGGUGCCUUCUGGAGAGGAACAGAGAUACACAUGCCAUGUGCAGCACGAGGGGCUGCCCCAGCCCCUCAUCCUGAGAUGGGAGCAGUCUCCCCAGCCCACCAUCCCCAUCGUGGGCAUCGUUGCUGGCCUUGUUGUCCUUGGAGCUGUGGUCACUGGAGCUGUGGUCGCUGCUGUGAUGUGGAGGAAGAAGAGCUCAG